GACGUAGAGUAACUGUAGCUGUUGGUUCAGUUAGUCACCCCAUACCCUUCAUCAACUUUCCCCUCCCCCUACAUCAUUUCACCUCAGCAGAAAACUCUGCCUCCUCUCUCAGCCCUUUAUAAAGAAAAGAUUGAUACAAUAAAACGAGUUUCUGCUUGGACAGACUCCUGGCUUGGUUGGUUAUUCUCCGGAGGCAGGAGAUCCAAGCCAGGACACUCACCAUCCCGCUCAACCCCGAGAGAGAGAGGCUCGAGAAAGGCUCUGCUGGACCCGGUUCUCUCCCUCUCUCGCCUGGUUCUGUCGGCAGAGAGCCUGCCUGGCAAGGGUACAUGAAGGAGUAAAGGCUUUACAUGCCAGGAGGGAACUCUGGGGACCGAGGCUUUCUUGAUUUUCUUCUGCUUCCCUUGCUUACUCAAAAGCAAGACCAAAUCAGGAGGGACAGCAAGCUUUUUUGCAGAAGCCCAACAGCAAACAAAGAAGAAAGAAAAGGGCAAAAGAAAACAGAAGACCAAGUGUGGGCCAUAUUUAGCUCAUUUUAUCAAAUCAACAUAAUUCUCUUGUGGCAAGAAUAUUUCUGGUGCGGUUGUAAAGUCGUAUUAUUGUGAAUUUUUAGGGCAUCCAAUUUUACUGUUUUGCAGUUGUAGUUUACAAGAAAACACACCCAGCCACCUUAGAGAAAAACACAUCUGUGGCCUGGGCCCACCUCCCCUAUUUCCCUGUACCCUCAUACUGUUCAUAACUGCAAAAUAGAUGCACAGAACCUACAACCCUCAAGCCUGCUUUUCAGGCUCAUAACAGGGUCCCAGAGCCACUAGAUUUUUAUUUGAAUUAUAAUGAACACAUCAAAGCCAAAGAGGACCAAAGAGACACAUUAGAUAGGACCAAAUCAGUCUCUUAGUAACAGGCCAUGGUGAUGUAAAUACACUUGACAAUGGUGUCAAUGACCAGUGCACCUUCAUGUACCUCAGCCGGGAAUCAACCCUGGUCAUAUGCUGUGAUACAGCUGAGGUCUAGACUCCUGAGUUUGAGUCCCAACUCCCAACCAUGUCACUAAUCACCUGGCAGGACAGUAGUAAGUGACAGUAAGGGACAUAAACCCUGGAGAAGGGUCCAGCAUGAUGCUAAUCCAGACCCAUGCUGGGACUGCACACCAUGAGCUGUGAACAUCUCUCACACAUCUUUAACAGAAGGGUUAAAACAAACCUAUGGAUUUCUCAGCAGAGUGCAUCUGCUCUUCCACUGGCUGGAGCCAGUCUUUCCCCUGGUUGAAGGGAAGAACAUGACAGAACAUCUCCAUACCUCCUAUGUCUCCAGCUCUAACUACAACUAUGAAACCAAUGCCAGAGAGCCAAGGAGGAUAAAGGAGCCAGAGGUUGAACUGAUGCUCUUUCUCCAUCCUUGGCUCUCAAACUGUCCUUGUUUUAUUUAUUCAUGGAAAACUUGCUGUGUCUUUUCCUCCCUUCCUCCUUGCAAAGUCAGUGAGCUCCCUGAGCCGCUACACACUACCCACCGCUAUCCAAAGGCAACUGAGUCAGUGAGCUCCCUGAGCAGCUACACACUACCCACCGCUAUCCAAAGGCAACCGGGGGAAUUCCCUCCACAUUAUCUAGAACCUUCAAUUGCAAAGAGCACUGAAAAGAAGCUGAUGGGUAAAGGAAGCACGGCAGUGGCAGGAGGUGGCGAGCGCUCUGAAAAGCACCGCUGCCUGCUGGCUCUGAUGAUGAAGCCGCUGGGAAGGGCUGGGAAGGGCCUCCUCCGGCUUGCUGGAAAGGGCUCUCUGUGAUUAUAGCAAGCUUCACCUAAGGGGGAAAAAAGAGGUCUUGAGAGUCAUCCAAACCAGCAUGUGGGAAAGAUUGCUAAAAACCAGCCCAGCCCUUCCUUCUACCUGUUCAGGGGACAGCUCUGCUUCCUCCAUGGCAGGCUUAGCCUCCUGGCCUAGAGUUUCAUUUUAUUCUGUUCAUUUGUGGGGGUGGGGGGUGGAGGGAGUGAAACAGAGCUUUGUGUUGCCCAGCCCACCUUCCCCAACGCUAGAAUUAUAGGCCUGCAUGCUAA